rnacentral:rRNA from 1 species
CCGUUGCCGGCGACCGGCGCACGGGUGAGUAACACGUAUGCAACCUGCCCGUGGCAGGGGGAUAAGCGGGGGAAACCCCGUCUAAUACCGCGUAACGCGGCCUUGGGGCAUCCCAAGGCCGCCAAAGGGAGCAAUCCCGGCCACGGACGGGCAUGCGGCGCAUUAGCUAGUCGGCGGGGUAACGGCCCACCGAGGCGACGAUGCGUAGGGGUUCUGAGAGGAAGGCCCCCCACACUGGUACUGAGACACGGACCAGACUCCUACGGAAGGCAGCAG